GACGAACGCUGGCGGCGUGCUUAACACAUGCAAGUCGAACGGAAAGGCCCUGCUUUUGUGGGGUGCUCGAGUGGCGAACGGGUGAGUAACACGUGAGUAACCUGCCCUUGACUUUGGGAUAACUUCAGGAAACUGGGGCUAAUACCGGAUAGGAGCUCCUGCUGCAUGGUGGGGGUUGGAAAGUUUCGGCGGUUGGGGAUGGACUCGCGGCUUAUCAGCUUGUUGGUGGGGUAGUGGCUUACCAAGGCUUUGACGGGUAGCCGGCCUGAGAGGGUGACCGGCCACAUUGGGACUGAGAUACGGCCCAGACUCCUACGGGAGGCAGCGGUGGGGAAUAUUGCAAAAUGGGCGGAAGCCUGAUGCAGCAACGCCGCGUGCGGGAUGACGGCCUUCGGGUUGUAAACCGCUUUCGCCUGUGACGAAGCGUGAGUGACGGUAAUGGGUAAAGAAGCACCGGCUAACUACGUG
rnacentral:rRNA from 1 species